AUUACGUUACUCAUACCAUCAUGGGUUUAAGAGUAGCAAGUUCUCUUCGUAACAAAUGUUCCAUUAAUUAAUUUUUAUAUGGUUGAGUAGCAUGUCGCGGAUUGAGUCUUGAGACAGUUCGAUUGCAUGUAACUUAUUUCAGACCUUCCACAAGACUUCAAAGAAAUACACGGAAUUGAUAAAAUGGGUAGGGACCAAAUAAAUUGGGCAAACCAACAUGCUUUAUACAUCAUUCUGUGAAACGUCUAACAUGAGAAGUGACUUCUCUUGUUUGUCUCAGAGACAAUGUUCAUUCCUUCAUGCGAGUAUGCAACUUGGUAUGUCCAAAACGAAUUGCCCAACAUAUUUUAGGGUGGUGAUCCCGGAACACGCGC
rnacentral:lncRNA from 1 species